GCUAGAAGUGCAUAACUGGAGACUUGAGUGCAGAAGGACAGACUCCAUGUGUAGCGGUGGAAUGCGUAGAUAUAUGGAAGAACACCAGUGGCGCGGCUGUCUAGUCUGUAACUGACGCUGAGGCUCGAAAGCAUGGGUAGCGAACAGGAUUAGAUAUGGUAGUCCAUGCCGUAACGAUGAGUGCUAAGUGUUGGAGGGUUCCGCCUUCAUGCUGCAGCUAACGCAUUAAGCACUCCGCUGGGGAGUACGACCGCAAGUUAACUCAAGGUGACGGGGCCCGCACAACGGUGGAGCAUGUGGUUUAUCAAUACGGAAGAACCUUACCAGGUCUUGACAUCUUCUGCCAAUCUUAGAUUCCCUUCGGGGACAGAAUGACAGGUGGUGCAUGGUUGUCGUCAGCUCGUGUCGUGAGAUGUUGGGUUAAGUCCCGCAACGAGCGCAACCCUUAUUAUCAGUUGCCAGCAUUCAGUUGGGCACUCUGGUGAGACUGCCGGUGACAAACCGGAGGAAGGUGGGGAUGACGUCAAAUCAUCAUGCCCCUUAUGACCUGGGCUACACACGUGCUACAAUGGACGGUACAACGAGUCGCGAAGUCGUGAGGUAAAGCUAUUCUCUUAAAGCCGUUCUCAGUUCGGAUUGUAGGCUGCAACUCGCCUACAUGAAGUUGGAAUCGCUAGUAAUCGCGGAUCAGCAUGCCGCGGUGAAUACGUUCCCGGGCCUUGUACACACCGCCCGUCACACCAUGAGAGUUUGUAACACCCAAAGC
rnacentral:rRNA from 2 species